UACACGACCGUACCGCAAACCGACACUGGUGCGCGAGAUGAGUAUUCUAAGGCGCUUGAGAGAACUCAGGAGAAGGAACUCGGCAAAUUGACACCGUAACUUCGGAAGAAGGUGUGCCUUUAGUAGGUGAAGUCCCUCGCGGAUGGAGCCCAAUGAGGUUGCAAAAAAUCGGUGGCUGCGACUGUUUAUUAAAAACACAGCACUCUGCAAACACGAAAGUGGACGUAUAGGGUGUGACGCCUGCCCGGUGCUGGAAGAUUAAAUGAUGGGGUGCAAGCUCUUGAUUGAAGUCCCAGUAAACGGCGGCCGUAACAAUAACGGUCCUAAGGUAGCGAAAUUCCUUGUCGGGUAAGUUCCGACCUGCACGAAUGGCGUAACGAUGGCCACACUGUCUCCUCCUGAGACUCAGCGAAGUUGAAAUGUUUGUGAUGAUGCAAUCUCCCCGCGGAAAGACGGAAAGACCCCAUGAACCUUUACUGUAGCUUUGUAUUGGACUUUGAACAGAUCUGUGUAGGAUAGGUGGGAGGCUUUGAAGCAGGGUCGCUAGAUCUUGUGGAGCCAACGUUGAAAUACCACCCUGGUGUGUUUGAGGUUCUAACCUAGGCCCGUAAUCCGGGUUGGGGACAGUGCAUGGUAGGCAGUUUGACUGGGGCGGUCUCCUCCCAAAGUGUAACGGAGGAGUUCGAAGGUACGCUAGUUACGGUCGGACAUCGUGACGAUAGUGCAAUGGCAUAAGCGUGCUUAACUGCGAGACUGACAAGUCGAGCAGAUGCGAAAGCAGGACAUAGUGAUCCGGUGGUUCUGUAUGGAAGGGCCAUCGCUCAACGGAUAAAAGGUACUCUGGGGAUAACAGGCUGAUACCGCCCAAGAGUUCAUAUCGACGGCGGUGUUUGGCACCUCGAUGUCGGCUCAUCUCAUCCUGGGGCUGUAGCCGGUCCCAAGGGUAUGGCUGUUCGCCAUUUAAAGAGGUACGUGAGCUGGGUUUAAAACGUCGUGAGACAGUUUGGUCCCUAUCUUCCGUGGGCGCUGCAGAUUUGAGGAAGCCUGCUCCUAGUACGAGAGGACCGGAGUGGACGCACCUCUGGUGUAUCGGUUGUCACGCCAGUGGCAUUGCCGAGUAGCUAUGUGCGGAAGAGAUAACCGCUGAAAGCAUCUAAGCGGGAAACUCGUUUCAAGAUGAGAUCUGCCGGGGCCUUGAGCCCCCUGAAGAGUCGUUCAAGACCAGGACGUUGAUAGGUCGGGUGUGGAAGCGCAGUAAUGCGUUAAGCUAACCGAUACUAAUUGCUCGUGCGGCUUGACCCC
rnacentral:rRNA from 1 species